rnacentral:rRNA from 1 species
GAUGAACGCUGGCGGCGCGCCUAACACAUGCAAGUCGAACGGCACCCCUCCUCGGAGGGAAGCGAGUGGCGAACGGCUGAGUAACACGUGGAGAACCUGCCCCCUCCCCCGGGAUAGCCGCCCGAAAGGACGGGUAAUACCUGAUACCCCGUGGUGCCUCAUGGCACCCCGUCUAAAGCCCCGACGGGAGGGGAUGGCUCCGCGGCCCAUCAGGUAGACGGCGGGGUGACGGCCCACCGUGCCGACCACGGGUAGCCGGGGUGAGAGACCGACCGGCCAGAUUGGGACGGAGACACGGCUAAGACACCUACGGGAGGCAGCAGAGGGGAAGCGGGCGCAAGGGGGGGAAGCCUGACGGAGCGACGGAGCGUGAGGGACGGAGGCCUGCGGGUAGUAAACCGCUUUCAGAAGGGAAGAGUCAAGACGGUACCUGCAGAAGAAGCCACGGCUAACUACGUG